rnacentral:rRNA from 1 species
GACGAACGCUGGCGGCGUGCUUAACACAUGCAAGUCGAGCGGUAAGGCCCUUUCGGGGUACGACGAGCGGCGAACGGGUGAGUAACACGUGGGUGACCUGCCCUCAGCUCUGGGAUAAGCCUGGGAAACCGGGUCUAAUACCGGAUAUGACUCCAUGACGCAUGUUGUGGGGUGGAAAGCCUUGUGCGGCUGAGGAUGGGCCCGCGGCCUAUCAGCUUGUUGGUGGGGUGANGGCCUACCAAGGCGACGACGGGUAGCCGGCCUGAGAGGGCGACCGGCCACACUGGGACUGAGACACGGCCCAGACUCCUACGGGAGGCAGCAGUGGGGAAUCUUGCGCAAUGGGCGAAAGCCUGACGCAGCGACGCCGCGUGAGGGAUGACGGCCU